AACUAACAAGGAUUCCCCUAGUAACUGCGAGUGAAGCGGGAAGAGCUCAAAUUUUGAAUCUGACGGUCUUUUGGCUGUCCGAGUUGUAAUCUAGAGAAGCGUUUUCCGCGCUGGGACCGUGUACAAGUCUCCUGGAAGGGAGCGUCAUAGAGGGUGAGAAUCCCGUCUUUGACACGGAUCACCCCAGUGCUAUGUGAUACGCUCUCGACGAGUCGAGUUGUUUGGGAAUGCAGCUCAAAAUGGGUGGUAAACUCCAUCUAAAGCUAAAUACAGGCGAGAGACCGAUAGCGAACAAGUACCGUGAGGGAAAGAUGAAAAGAACUUUGAAAAGAGAGUUAAACAGUACGUGAAAUUGCUGAAAGGGAAACGCUUGAUGUCAGUCGCGUCGGCUUGGGGAUCAACCUUGCUUCUUCGUUGGG
rnacentral:rRNA from 2 species